UACAUGGGGGUGCAAACGUUGCUCGGAAUUAUUGGGCGUAAAGCGCACGUAGGCGGUUUGUUAAGUCGGAUGUGAAAUCCCUCGGCUCAACUGAGGAAGUGCAUCCGAAACUGGCAGGCUUGAGUACUAAAGAGGGUCGCGGAAUUCCCGGUGUAGAGGUGAAAUUCGUAGAUAUUGGGAAGAACACCGAUGGCGAAGGCAGCCAUCUGGACCGACACUGACGCUGAGGCGCGAAAGCGUGGGGAGCAAACAGG
rnacentral:rRNA from 1 species